rnacentral:rRNA from 1 species
CUCUCGGCAACGGAUAUCUUGGCUCUCGCAUCGAUGAAGAACGUAGCGAAAUGCGAUACUUGGUGUGAAUUGCAGAAUCCCGUGAAUCAUCGAGUCUUUGAACGCAAGUUGCGCCCAACGCCGUUCGGCCGAGGGCACGUCUGCCUGGGUGUCACGCACCGUUGCC